rnacentral:misc_RNA from 1 species
GAUGAAGAAGCAGCGAAAUGCGAUACUUGGUGUGAAUUGCAGAAUCCCGUGAACCAUCGAGUCUUUGAACGCAAGUUGCGCCUCAAGCCAUUAGGUUGAGGGCACGUCUGCCUGGGCGUCACAUAUCGUUGCCUGAUGCCAGUUUCCUCGUGAUGGGUGACUGUGCAGGGCGAAUGAUGGCUUCCCGUGAGCAUUGUUGCCUCAUGGUUGGUUGAAAAUUGAGUCCUUGGUAGGGAGCGCCGUGAUAGAUGGUGGUUGAGUGACGAACGAGACCCAAUCAUGUGAGACCCCUACCGAAUUUGGCCUUCAUGACCCACAUGCGUCUUUGGAACGCUCAUGACGAGACCUCAGGUCAGGCGGGGCUACCCGCUGAGUUUAAGCAUAUCAAUAAGCGGAGGA